AUGAUACCAGCAACACUGCAAAGGCGUGGACAUAGCAGAGGUGAUAGGAUACCCAACUGUUCUUGGAAUAAUUUUCAAGUGUUGUUUUUGAGGGAGGCUAACCUCACUGGCACCACCCUACAAUUUGUGUCAACCCUUAGUAGCUUGAACAUGCUUGAUGUCAGUCUCAACCAAUUGAGCGGUUCAGUGCCUGUGGAGAUUGGCGCACAUACAAGUUUGACUUACUUAGACCUUGGGAACAACAAGUUGAGCGGUUCAGUGCCUGUAGAGAUUGGCAUGCUUACAAAUUUGACUCACUUAGACCUUGGAAACAACAGCUUGACUGGAGUGAUUUCAGAAGAUCAUUUUGCUGGUUUGAUGAAUUUGAAGUCUCUUCACUUAUCCUUUAAUAAUCUGGAAGUUAUUAUUGACUCGCAUUGGGUACUGCUGUUCAACUUGGAUUUAGCAUCGUUAUCAUCUUGUCAUUUGGGCCCCCAGUUUCCUAAUUGGCUUCGAGGGCAGAGGAGCAUCAAUUUCCUUCAUAUUUCAAACACAAGCCUAGUUGGUAGGAUCCCAGGUUGGUUUUGGACUACCUUUUCUGAAGCUGCAUCUUUGGAUAUCUCCUUGAACCAACUAAGUGGCGAGCUACCACUUAGUCUGGAGUUCAUGUCAGUGAUCUUUCUUUCAAUGCAGUCAAAUCUACUGAUUGGUUUGAUACCCAAGUUACCAAGAACAAUUGAGUUAUUGGACAUAUCGAGAAACUCUUUAAAUGGGUUUGUGUCCAAUUUCCGAGCUCCACAACUGCAGGUUGCAAUUUUGUUUUCUAAUUCUAUAUCCGGGACUAUUCCCAUGUCAAUUUGUCAAAUGCGAGAAUUGCGGGUCUUAGAUCUUUCAAACAAUUUGCUUUCAAAGGAACUUCCUGAUUGUGGCCAAACAGAGCUAAAACGGUGGAACCCAUCUAACAACAACUCUUCAAGUUUCAAUUCAAUGAGUUCUUUCAGUUUGGAAAUCACGACUCUUCUCCUGAGCAACAACAGUUUUUCAAGUGGAUUUCCUUUGUUCCUGUGA
rnacentral:rRNA from 1 species